CGGAGGAAAAGAAACCAACAGGGAUUGCCUCAGUAACGGCGAGUGAAGCGGCAAAAGCUCAAAUUUGAAAUCUAGCACCUUCGGUGUUCGAGUUGUAAUUUGAAGAUGGUAACCUUGGGUUUGGCUCUUGUCUAUGUUCCUUGGAACAGGACGUCAUAGAGGGUGAGAAUCCCGUCUGAUGAGAUGCCCAUUCCUAUGUAAGGUGCUAUCGAAGAGUCGAGUUGUUUGGGAAUGCAGCUCUAAGUGGGUGGUAAAUUCCAUCUAAAGCUAAAUAUUGGCGAGAGACCGAUAGCGAACAAGUACAGUGAUGGAAAGAUGAAAAGAACUUUGAAAAGAGAGUGAAAAAGUACGUGAAAUUGUUGAAAGGGAAGGGCAUUAGAUCAGACUUGGUGUUUUACGAUUAUCUUCUCUUCUUGAGUUGUGCACUCGUAUUUCACUGGGCCAGCAUCGAUUCGGAUGGCAAGAUAAUGGCAGUUGAAUGUGGCUUCACUUCGGUGGAGUGUUAUAGCUUCUGCUGAUAUUGCCUGUCUGGAUCGAGGGCUGCGUCUUUUGACUAGGAUGCUGGCGUAAUGAUCUAAUGCCGCCCGUCUUGAAACACGG
rnacentral:rRNA from 1 species